UAUAUGCCUAUAUGCAGGUUCUGGAGUAUGAGUAUCUUUUCUAUGUUUGGGCUUUGAAAUGAAAGUGUCUUUUCUCUUUAUGAUGGCCUUUUAAUCAAGAGAUAUCUAAAAUAGAUUAAAACUAAAUGCACCUUUACGUGGACAUGAGGAUACCUUUCCAAUGUCUCAAGUGAGGGCACCUUUUAUCUUAAUGAUGGCUUCCAUAUUUAGUUAGCAUGUCAGGUGGCAUGGUAAAUAAAAUGUUCUCUCUGGUCUCCCCUUUUGGCAAGAUGUAAUGUAAUAUCGUUCUAAAGAAAUGACCAUCCUUAUUAAUUAAACAGGGCUCACUUUUUGGAAAUGCAAG
rnacentral:misc_RNA from 1 species